UACGGAAGGCAGCAGUGGGGAAUAUUGCACAAUGGGCGCAAGCCUGAUGCAGCCAUGCCGCGUGUAUGAAGAAGGCCUUCGGGUUGUAAAGUACUUUCAGUCGUGAGGAAGGUGUUAAGGUUAAUAACCUUAGCAAUUGACGUUAGCGACAGAAGAAGCACCGGCUAACUCCGUGCCAGCAGCCGCGGUAAUACGGAGGGUGCGAGCGUUAAUCGGAAUUACUGGGCGUAAAGGGCACGCAGGCGGUUAAUUAAGUUGGAUGUGAAAUCCCCGGGCUUAACCUGGGAAUGGCAUUCAAGACUGGUUAGCUAGAGUCUUGUAGAGGGGGUAGAAUUCCAUGUGUAGCGGUGAAAUGCGUAGAGAUGUGGAGGAAUACCGGUGGCGAAGGCGGCCCCUGGGACAAAGACUGACGCUCAUGUGUGAAAGCGUGGGGAGCAAACAGGGAUUAGAUACC
rnacentral:rRNA from 1 species